rnacentral:misc_RNA from 1 species
GCUACCCUAUGGCCUUAGGCGAGAUAGGUGAGAGAGGCGAGAGCCUUUUUGAAGCGAGGCGCUAACCUAAAUUGCCUAAAUAUAUAUAUAUGUAGACAUACUUUUAAUAUAAAAAUUCAUACCUUUUAACUAGUUUAAGAAGUAAAAAAGCAUAUUGAAAAUCAUGUCACACCCCCAAUUAAUAGAACGUUAACCAUUUAAAAAUAAGAAAUCAUUUGCAAAUACAUAACACACCUCAAUCUAACAUAUUACAAUACCCAUUUAAUAAAAAACAUAUCACAAUUGACAAUUAACCAUGCUCCAAGUCCCCAAUUAAUAGGACCUAAUUUCAAAAUUAAAUAACCUUUUGCAAAUACACACCUCAAUCUAACAUAUCACAAUACUCAUUUAAUAAAAAGGGUAUCAAAAUUGACAAUAUACAUCUAAAAAAUACAUAUCACAAUGCCCAUAUAAUAAACAAUGAAACAAUAAAUUAAAAAAGAAAAAAAAAGCGGUCGCUGUGUAAUUAAAAAUGGCAUGACUGUGAGAGAAGAAAGCAUAGGAGAAGAGAGAAGGAGGAGA